rnacentral:lncRNA from 1 species
GACACGCCUCGGCGCGCGGUGAGCCUUGAACUCCGAUUUGGGGACGGCCGGGGUCGCUAGGCUGGCGGAGGUGGGGCCCCGCACUCUGAGGCUGUCCCCGCCGGGUGCCCCGACCCCCGCCACCCGCGGCACCCCACUGGACAGCACCCACAAGAGCUGCUCCUCCUCCCCCUCCCCUUCCUGGAGCGCCGGGGCUUAGGCGGGAGGAGGGACGGGCCCCCUGCACUGCCGGGCUGUAUUUGCAGUCACGCCGAGCCCACCUCGCCGGGGGGACUUGCCGCAUCACUGGCUACAGCCCUUUCUCAAAUGGGCGCCACGUCCUCGCGCGGGAAGCCCCCAACCAACACAUACGCUGCGUGCUCUUUGUAGCUGCCUGACCUCCCCAACCAGACUGUGAACCCUGACGUCAGGACUGGCGCAGGUGUGUCUGCGUCUCCCCGCAGGUCUUACCUGAGGAUGUCCCGGGGAACGGGCCUCUUCAGACAUUGCCCAGCAGCUCCCAGCUCCCAGGGCAACGCCGGUUCCCUUUGCCUGUUCAGAAUAGGCGGCUUUCCCCUGGGAAGGAAAACUGCGGGAUCGCCGUGGCACAGAGUUCUUCCGGGACUCCAGAUUCUUCAGAUUAGUCUUGCCCAUGGUUCUGGGCAAGAUGUUUCCCGCCUGAAGGCACUGGAUUGAGUCGGCCUGAAGCCCGUAGGUUGAAUUUGGGCGCUCAGAAUAGAAGAUGUGGAAACCAAUUAGGUUCUCCCCUAGAGACUUGAUUUAUGAGCCUCCUUCCUAACAGAGCAUGUGGCAGAGCUGAAGUCAAAAAUGAGAGAGAGGAACUUAAAGUUAACUCUUUAGUCUGCGGUAGAAGGUACUCAACAACAACAGAAACUAGUUCCAGCUUUCUUAGGGUUUCAGAGGAGAACCAGGGCUCUGCUGGGAAGGCCUGGAUGAGAACACCAAGAGAAGCCUGGAAGUGAGCGCCUGUCAGGGCCCUGUGACUCUGUCGGGCCAGGACCAGGAGUGGGUCCAGACCUCCCUACUUGCCUCUGUGCCUCUUCUGGUUGAAAAAGAUGAAGCCAAGAGGAAGGAAGUGCGGUGUCCUCAUGGAUGUGAGCACAUUCCGUCCUCCGUGCUCAGAUUCAGAGACCUAGAGCUGGUCUGUGGCCAGGAAAUCGGGAUUCCUGAAUGUGCUGGAUGUUUUUCUUGCCCCUCCGGAUGUACUUUCCACCCUUCUCGCCUGCCCUAUGCCCUGGCAGGCUGGCCUCUGUGGACCACAGUCAAAGGCUCCCUUGUGCCGUGGCCUGGCGUUGGGUUCAGCCUAUAGGUGACACUGGCAGGUGAAUGAGAUCCAGCCCUGUCUCCUCUGACCUCCUGCCUCGCUCUCAGGAGGACUCUGUGACUACACCAAGAUGAUCCAGGACAAUCCUCCAUCUCAAGGUCUGUAAUUUAAUCACAUCUGUGGAGUUCCUUUGGCUAUGAAAGUAACUUAUUCACAGGUUCCAGGGAUCAGCAUGUGGUCAUCAUAGGGAGCCAUUAUUCAGCCUACCACACACACCAGUUAGUGAGUUUUUACAAAUGCAUACUUGUGUUACACACUUGCUUACUCCAAACCCCCAUCAAGGUACAGAACGUUACCAUCAGCCCCAGAAAGUCCUCUCGUGCCCCGUUCUCAUCAGUCCCCUCUCCCACUCCCACUGCCCAGAGGUAAGGACUGCUCUGACUUAUUGCCUCUCCUAGAGCUUCCUCUAAAUGGGAUAAUACAGGAGUUCGUCCUUUGAUUCUGGCUUCUUUUACUCCACAUGAUGUCGUUGAGACCUCUCCAUGUUGCCGGGGUCAGUAUUGGUCUGCUCCUUCUUAUUACUGAGCCACAUUCCAUUGUACGACUAGACCAUGGUCAGUUUAUCCAUUCGCCUGCUGAGGGACUCCAGGCUGUUUCCACUUGUUGUCUCUCUGUGCUUUUGGACCAGAUGCUGACAUUGCUCCUUCCUCCUGGAAUAACCUCCCUCCACCUGCAUCCUUUCCCCUCACACGCAAUCAGUCCCACGCUCGUUGGCCUCUCGAAGAGUAACUCCUCCCUCAAGACUCAGUGCAAAGGCCACCCUCUCUGGGGAGCACUUCAUAAACCACUGUCCCCACCGGACGAGGGGAUGGCCCCUUCUCUGCACCCUGUACACACUUCGGCUUCCACACCUGACCACUGUAUGUUCUUUGCUUGCCUGCAAGUCUGUGUGUCCUCACUCAAGUCCACACCCCCAAGAGCAGGAGCCAGGGCUUUCAUGUCUGCGUCUCCACGUGGAGGGCAGUGGAGGGCGAUAGAGAUGUGCCAGCCCUGGAACCAGUGCCAGCAGGGGCUGAAGUCCUGGUUCUGGCAUCUUCAUCUGUAAUGCGAUGACAAUGUUCUGGCCAACCUCAUAGGGUCAUUGAGGGGAGUAAAUAUGCAACACAGGUGAAGCACUUAGCCAGGGCUUGGCACAGAGUGUCUGACACAUCAGCCCUACUAUGUGUUUGUGGAAUAAACAGAUGAGGGGAUUUGUUAAGGAUGGUGCAGCUGGCCCCAGGUCAGCAAAGCUUUGGGGGUUUUUUUGCAUUCUGAUUGGACAGAGAAAUCCAUUUCUUUCCAAAAACUGAUGUGAGCUUGGGAGAAAGAGAGGCAGUGACUCUUCAUGAGAUAAGCUGACAGCCUUUACCCAUAACUAAUUUUGGUCACUGUCUGAGGGCAUGGAAGUCCACUGCUCCCCAGAGGAAGGGCAGAGUCUAGUCAACAUCUGAGAAGCUUCAACAGGCUGCCCAGGAGGAGACCUCUGAGCUGCUUGUUCCUCAGGGAAAUGUGCCAUUGUGUCCCUCUGGGUCCAAAGACAUUGCUAUGCCCUGGGUUGGUUGGGGUCAUGACUUUUGCUAUCAAACUAGUUCCACAAUAGGACCUGAGGUUCCUAAAUUUUCUCAUUCUGAGGCAAACUAGAACCUAAAGAGGUUAACAACCCAGCAACAACCAUGAAAAAUAUAUUGAUGUAAUUUUUUCCUGUCUUUUCCAUAUAAUAAGUAUCUUCUUUUUCAGUGGUCUAUUCAUCAAGAACUUGGGCUUCUUGACCAUAGUGUUUGUGUGGUAAACCUUUUUUUUGUCCUUUGGUGAAGAAGAGUGGCCUGGAGCUAACAUCUGGGCCAGUCUUCCUCUAUUUUGUAUGUGGGACGCCACCACAGCAUGGCCUAAUGAGCAGUGUGUAGGUCUGCACCAGGGAUCUGAACUUAUGAACCCUGGGCCACCAAAGCAGACUGCAUGAACUUAACCACUACACCACAGGGCCAGCCCCAUGCAAACCUGUGUUUUAAUUCAUUUUCUCUUGUUAUAGAAAUAAUACAUGCCCAUUGGGGAAAGUUGGGAAAUAUGGAAAAUUAUAAAAAGAAGUCAAAAAGUACUCUUGAAACCGAAAACAAAGAGGUUAAAAACAUCUUUCCUGGUCUAGAAGAACAAAACCUUUGAGGAAAGCUUCGUUAACUGCAGCUGUGCACGUUCAGCAUAGUCAACCGUUGUUUGAAACUAACCAGGUCUUUCUGUCCCUCCUUUGUCUAUGAGUGAGCUGUCUUUCCCAGGAAGUCAAGGUCCAGA